rnacentral:lncRNA from 1 species
AUGCAGCAAAGUAGGUCAGAGCAAAGUGUGAAUAAGCCCGCUUUCCGUGCUGCACCAAGGAGGAGGAGAGAGGAGACCACCAAGUGUCUUAUCUGGAAGCUGCAACAUCAAUGGAAUCAGUCACGGGUAUUCAACUGCCUCAGCAAGAGGGUGCCAAUUAACAGGAACCAGACAGAGAUGAACGCUGCCCCUUCGAGAUGGAAACAGGAGGAGCUGCGUCUACCCCAUGCCCUGGACAGCCCAGGUGUGUGCUUAGGUUUUUCUAGUGACUGCUUCCCCUCUGUCUGACCCUGCACCCAAGCCUGGCUGUGUUACUUGUAGGGUGAUGGGGCACAGAUUCCUUGGCCAAGGUCUGCCAUAGGGGACAUUUUUGUCUUUCCUUCUUCGUGUCUGGGAGAGUGUGUGAUCUAGGUGUUUCCUUAGGAUUGGUGGACUCGAGGCACAGCAGGCAGCAUCCUGCUGGUGGGGGCUUUGUUGUUUAUUAAUAGCACAGCCAGUGGAAGUGCUGACAGAGUAGCUUCUGCUGGGGGAGAGGCACGUGUGUGGUUUUAGCAUGGGAGAUACCUUUUUCUGCCAUCAGCAGGAAGAGACGUGAAGCCACUCUGGUGGCUCCAUUUAACUGCUGAGGCACUGGAGAUGCCUUUUUGUCAGUGCAGGAGCCAAAGUGGUGCUUCGCCAGGGACAGACCUUACGUGGCAUGCUCAGUGAUUUUAAAAUUGUACAGGAUGUACUAUAUAUCAUCAUUGUAAAAGAGGCUAAUUUAAGGCCAUUGAUCAGGCCUUGAAGUUUUUUUCCAGUGAGUUUAACAGUUUGUAAAUUGUUUCCGGGAGAAGGCAUUUGCCUUUAUGAGUUGCUUGUAUUUUUGGUAUUGUAUAUCCCAGCUUGAUCAUUGUUAAUUAGUGUCAUGCUUCUGUGUUUUACUGCAAGCAGAAUUACUUCACUUACUAAUGGCUCUUUGCUGCUGCUAAAUUCCUAUUCUAGUAGUUGAGCAUGAAAGUUAAUUUUUCUUCCCUCACUACAUUUCUUCACUGCCUUUGUCUUAUCUGAAGUGGUUGACUGGCAAAAGUUUCUCUUUUGUAAACAAGCAGAUUAAAAGGAAAGGUGUUGGAUUAAAGACGGCAGACUCCAGUCUGAUCCUAUGAAAGUCAAUGGCAAAAUCUCCCAUAAGUCACAGUGAAUACAAUACCAGAAAGAAAAGGGCUCUCAAGGUGUAAUAUUAGUGUGAUUUUAAAGGGAAGUGGAAUGUAGUAUUCUUUCUUUCUCUUCUUGUUUGCAGCUACCUUUUUUUUUUUUGUUUUCUUCAGUGUAGCAAUCCUGAUGAGUUAGCAAAACACAGCUUUUGUACAGGGAAUUUGUGAAAACUUUAUUACAAAUUAAAACACAGUGCAAAAGCUCAUGCUAUUGGUCUGAGUGAGUUUGAACAUGCUUGACAGCAAAAAAAGCUGUUGAAUAGAGAGAACUGGCUGUCUGAAUAAAGGCCCAGUAUAUGUGAAGGCUCUCA